UCUACGGGUGGCUGCAGUGAGGAAUAUUGGUCAAUGGCCGCAGGGCUGAACCAGCCAAGUCGCGUGAGGGAUGACGGUCCUAUGGAUUGUAAACCUCUUUUGUCAGGGAGCAAAGGGCGACACGUGUGGCGUUUUGCGAGUACCCGAAGAAAAAGCAUCGGCUAACCCCGUGCCAGCAGCCGCGGUAAUACGGGGGAUGCGAGCGUUUUCCGGAUUUAUUGGGUCUAAAGGGUGGGCAGGGGGAAUGUUAAGUCAGCGGUAAAAUGUCGGGGCUCAACCCCGUCGUGCCGUUGAAACUGGCGUUCUUGAGUGGGCGAGAGGGAUGCGGAAUGCGUGGUGUAGCGGUGAAAUGCAUAGAUAUCACGCAGAACUCCGAUUGCGAAGGCAGCAUACCGGCGCUCAACUGACGCUGAUGCACGAAAGCGUGGGUAUCGAACAGGAUUAGAUACCCUUGUAGUC
rnacentral:rRNA from 1 species